rnacentral:rRNA from 1 species
GAGAAAAAAUUAAUAGAAAAUAUUUAUAAAAAAAAUUUAUAUAAUUAUUUAAUGGGGGUUAAAGUAUUUAUAUAGAAAAAAUUAUAAAAUUUAUAGAGAAAUAGUAUUGUGAAAGAAAUUUGAAAAAUAUGAAAAUAAAAUUAUAAUAAAGUAAAUUUAAUUUAUUGUAUCUUGUGUAUCAGAGUUUAUCAAAAAAAUAAUUUAAGAAAAUUAAUUUCGAAUUUAAAAGAGAUAAUUAAUUAAAAAAGUUAAUGUUACAUAAUUAUUUUUAAUAAUUAAUUGGAAAUGAUAAGUUAAUCGUUUUUAAAGAUAUCUAGUUUUUUUAGAAAAAAAUUAAAUUUUAAAUUAAUUUUUUAUUAUAAUUAAAUAAUUAAUUAUAAUAAAAUUUAAUUAAAUAUUUUAGGGGAUAAGCUUUAAAUUAAAAAUUUAUAAUAAAAUUAGAAAUAAUUGAAAUUUUUAAAAUUUAUAUUUUUUAUAAAUUAUAGUUUUUUAUAAAUAAUUUCAUUUAAUUAAAAUUUUAUAUAAUAUUUAAAUUUUUAUAAAAAUAUAAUUUUUAAUAAAUAAAAAUUAGAAUUAAUGAUAAAAUUAGUAUAUAAAAUUGUAAGUAAAAAAUAAUUUAUUAAUAAUUAAUUAAAAGGAAUUCGGCAAAAAUUUAUAUUCACUUGUUUAUCAAAAACAUGUCUUUUUGGAAAUAAUUUAAAGUCUAAUCUGCCCACUGAAUAAUUUUUAAAGGGCUGCAGUAUAUUGACUGUACAAAGGUAGCAUAAUCAGUAGUCUUUUAAUUGAAGACUUGUAUGAAUGAUUUGAUGAGAUAUAAACUGUCUCUUUUUUAAAAAUAGAAUUUAAUUUUUUAGUUAAAAAGCUAAAAUAUAUAUAAAAGACGAGAAGACCCUAUAGAUCUUUAUAUUUAAGUUUUUAGAUUUAUUAUAUAAAAAUUAAAAUUUUUAAAAAUUAAAAUAUUUUAUUGGGGUGAUAGAAAAAUUUAAUAAACUUUUUUUAAAAAUUAAACAUUUAUUUAUGAAUUUUUGAUCCAUAAUUUAUGAUUAAAAGAAUAAGUUACCUUAGGGAUAACAGCGUAAUUUUUUUUUUUAGUUCAAAUAAAAAAAAGAGUUUGCGACCUCGAUGUUGGAUUAAGAUAAAAUUUAAAUGCAAAAGUUUAAAAUUUUGAUCUGUUCGAUCAUUAAAAUCUUACAUGAUCUGAGUUCAAACCGGCGUGAGCCAGGUUGGUUUCUAUCUUUUUACAUGAUCUGAGUUCAAACCGGCGUGAGCCAGGUUGGUUUCUAUCUUUAUAAAAAUAAAAUAACUUAGUACGAAAGGAUCAGUUAUUUUAAAUAAUUUAUAAAAAUAAAAUAACUUAGUACGAAAGGAU